UUUUGUUUCCUGUUUCAUAGUGUUCGUAUUAUUUAUUAAAAAAAAAAAGGAAAAUUCAGUCAGUCACGGCCACUGGAAUUUUUUGCGUGGAAAACGGCAUGAGUUGGUGUUAAUUCCGUGCAAAUGCAAGAGCAACAUUGCUUCUGGAAAUUGCAGCAUGGAAAUGGUGCCAUUUCAAGGCUAUUUCCAAGCCAUAGCAUGAGUCAAGGCUAGGAAAAAACACUUCUAAAAUUUUCAGCAUUGAAUUUGGCGCGGUUUUAGUGUAUUUUCCGCGCUGUUGCGCGAGACAGAGGUGGAGGCAUUAGUUCUGAUUUUUUCAGCAUAAAAAACGGUGCUAUAGCACCAAGAUUGUUUCAAAAAAAAAAUAUUUUAAAACAAAAAAAAUAAACAAAAACACGUGGGCACGAGGAUAAAAAAAAACUACUUAAAAUAAUAGAAGAUUUGGUUUUUAUAACAAAAAUAAAAACAAUAUUACUAUAUCUUAAACUUAUCUUUUCACCUAAUAAAAAAAACUAUCUUUCUUCAAUCAGUUUUGUUUUCAAAAACGUGCUCUUCUACUCCUCUAUUUUUCCCCACACAGUUUUCUUCUUCUUCUCCUCCUUUAAAAUUUUUCUUCUCCCUUUAAUCACCUUUGUUGAAUUCUUUACUUUCUCAGUGCGUGUGUCUCUCGACCGAGGAUGAGCUUGGAUAGAGAUGAUAUGAGCAUUGGAGCUGACGGGGGAUUCUGAAGCUCAAAGUAGCGGAGCGGCUGGAGAGGAGGAUGAUGAUGAUGAGCCUCAGAGCUCAUAUUAGGGGAGUUAUUUCCCUUAUCUUUUUAUUUAUUUAUUUUAAUUUUCUUUUUUUUUUCUUAUUCAAGUUGAGUCUUGUGUGGUAGUAGUUGUUGUGUUUUGUAGAGUCAGUUUACCCUUAUAUGCUUGUGUUGUGCACCAUAUUACUUGCGUAUCUUAAGCGGUUUCACCCUGAAUUUAGAUGCUAGUUUUGUUUGUGAAAAUUGCUGAAAUAUGUUAUUUGGGGUGAUUCACAUGUGGGAAACUGUUUGUGUUAAGAGAAUGAGAGUUGGGUAACUUUGGGAACCUGAGUUAAGUUGCUUGGAAACACUGUUUUGAGUUCUGAUAAUGGGUACACUUACCCUUUUGUUUCUGAGUGUUGAGUGAAUAUUCUGACAUACUUGUACCUGCUUGAACCUGUCUUGAUUUGCAUCUCGGUUGAAUAUGUGCAGUUUUGUGAUUCAGAGAGAGACUUAUAGGAAUUUUUGUUGGCUUUCAGAAUUUGCUUUCAUAUUUCCCUUAGUGGCCCCUUUGAGCCUUAAUGAUUAUUUAUUUGGUACCUUGCUUUGGUGAUUUGUUUGGUUGUUAAGUGAUCUUAGUUACUUGAAAAUUGGCAAGAGCUUCGAAAAUUGUAGGCUUCUCUUCUCUCAAAAAAAAAAAUGAAAAGGAAAAAAUGUAACAUUUGAGGUAUAUGCCUCGGAACAAAGGAAAAGGAAAAAAAUAUGAACUAAGUGAGUAAGGUUAUGGGGGUGGUCAUCCCACUUUCUAUAUUCCCCAAUCACUUCAUUACUUUGUUCGAAAUGAAGAAAAAGAAAAAAAAGAAUUAAGAGAGAGAGCCUAAAUGUGUUUAAUCUAUUGCUUUUGUGUGCUUCAUGAAGAAUGAUCACUUAACUAAAUUGGGUAGCCCUUUGAGUUGUCAAUUCUUUCAAUUCCAAACCCACAUUGCACCUUUGGCCACGUUUCAACCUGAUGAGGUCUCUCCUAAUUGCUUUGCUGUCUUAUUUGAUUUUGAGUUGAAAGAUAGCCAGAUUUGAUGCACUGUACUUGUUUGUUCAUGAGCUGAGAGAUGUGUGAGCUUAAUUGUGUAUGGACUCUUGACUUUGUUUCCCUGCUGCUUGUAAUUCUCACUUACUGAAGUUUAUUCACUUUCUUAUCUUAGCACUUGCAUGAACUACUAUGAUGAACCCUAGGUUUUUAGACUGAGAAUUUGGCAUCUGAGUUAGGGGUGAUUAGUUCUAUGCUUGAGGGCAAGCUAAUUGAGUUUACGCUUGAGGACAAGCUGUCGUUGAGUAUAGUAGUGUGUUGACCCGAGGAUAUAAGGGUAUUUUUGUGGGUCUUUUAUUUUAUUUAUAAUUUAUUUUCUAAGUUUUAAUUAGCUUUUAUGGUAUUUUUUAAGUAAUUUUCGUAUUUUUAAUUAUUUUAGGAUUUUAGGAGUUUUUAUUAUGAUUUGAUAGAUUUUAGUAGUUUUUAUCUUAUCAUUAAUUAGUAUUUUUUAAAUUAAAGAUUUAGUUAGGAUUUAGGUUGUUUAUUUUUGGGUUAUUAUCUUCCUAGUAUUUUAUUUUGGUUUAUUUUGUGAUUUUUAUUUUAUUUUAUUUAGGAUUUUCGGAAUAAAAAGAAAAAAAGAAAAUCAGGAAAAGAGAUCUGAUCCGGAGCUGCAGGUCCACGGAGCUAUUGUGCACCCGCAGGAGAUCAAACGGCUUUUACUUUGUCCCCUGCCAUGUGGCGCGAUGGUGGCACAGGCCCACCGUAAGACUGUGGUGCGAGUAGCACAGAUUUUGACUUUUCCCCAAACCUGGACCACGUGAUUUUGAACGGAAAAAGCAGUACUAUUAGGGAUAUAUUAGGGCUGAGCAUCUUACCCAGACCCGACCAUAACCCGACCAACCCGGUACCAAACAAAGCUUCUCGGGCGGAUAAAUACGGGUCAUGGGUUGUGCGGGUGAAAGAUGUGAGUAGGUACGGUUUUGUUUGGGCGGGUGCGGGUUCAAUAUUUUUGUUUCGUCGGUGCCCGCACCCGACCGAUUCUACAUAGUAUGAAUUUUAAAAAGCACUGCUGCGUGUAUUUAAUGCUCUGUGCAUUGUACAAGUUUUUCAAAGCUGUGUCUUAUCAAAAUUCAAGUCAAUGUCAAGUCUCUAUUUUUUUAGAAUUAAAAAGUUGUAGAUGGAAACACGUUACCCACUGCAUCACGUUUCAGUUUCAGAAAAAGUAAAGGUCUCUUCUUCUCUCCCUUCACCCAUGCAUCUCUCAUCAUCUUUUCAUCCCCACAUCAGAAGCCUUUUAUUUUUCUAGUUUUCUCUACUUUCCAUUUUCCCUCAUACGUUCUAAAACUGUCGAAAGUCAUUCAUUGUGUCAUUCUACCAUUUUCCUCUAACUGCUAUAAGCUUCGAACACCACUGGAAGCCAUUCAUGGUAGUGGAGAAGCAAGCUAUUGAGAUCCAUUCCUCCUUUCUUCAUCUCUGUUGCUGCUCCUUCUCUCACCGUCGUUGCUUUCAUCGCCGGUGUGGCUUGAAGAGACGAAGCGACUCGCCGCUGCUCCUCCUCUCUCCUCCGCUACUUUCCUCACCGGUGCGGCUUGAAGAGGCGAAGCAUAGUCGCCGGAUCACCACUGCUCCUCUUCUCUUCCAUGUUGGUUCUUCUUGUUUUCCUUCCUCUUCCCUUGUUCACUUGACCCGUGAAAACCGACCCGUCCGACCCGUCCACCAACUCAACCCGCACCCGAGUUAUCCGAUCCCUGAUUCGGUCGGAGACGGCCUUGAAUAUGUUCGAUUAAAAUCCGCCCAAACCCGACAUCUUUCACCCGGGCCCGCCCGAAACCGACCCAUGCUCAGCCCUAGGAUAUAUAUAUAUAUAUAUAUAUAUAUAUUUUGGUAGAAGUAUUAUGAGAGGCUUUUGGUGAUUGGAAUUGAGCACAAACUACUUAGGAUUUUGAGAGUUUUUUCAAGGUUUCUCCUAGAGACUUUAGGUGAUAUUUUUCUUAUCUCUUGAAUUUUUGUUAUGGCCAUGCUUGGCUAAACUUCUUUCAGUACUUGGGUGUGGAACAUUUUUAGGAUUAUGUUUUGAUUCGAAUCUUUGCUUCA